UCGUAAGUUCCUUUGUUCAUUUAACAAAGGAUUAAGCAUUGGUUGUUUGUGUUGUCCUCUUCAUGAUAGACUUAUCUAACAUGUUCUUUCGAUGAUACAUUACCAAUAGAACGAUUUUGAGGAUGAGACUACUUAGGUACAUAUACAAUCCAUUUAAGACAAUCUUUGGGAUUGUGUUACCAAGUCCGGAAACUAAAGCAUUCGGUUUUUCUUUGUCAAGUGUUGGAUAGCGUUUGCAAAUAUAUUGGUAAACAAAUACAUAACGAAUAUAAAUUGA
rnacentral:lncRNA from 1 species